rnacentral:tRNA from 1 species
GGUGGCUCAAUGGUAGAGUGCUUGCCUUGCAUGCAUGAGGCCCUAGGUUCAAUUCCUCAGCACCA